GGCGCGAAACCUUUACACUGCGGGAAACCGCGAUAAGGGGACACCGAGUGCCAGCAUACAAUGCUGGCUGUCCACAUGUGUAAAUAGCAUGUGAUAGCAAGGGCCGGGCAAGACCGGUGCCAGCCGCCGCGGUAACACCGGCGGCCCGAGUGGUAAUCACUAUUAUUGGGUCUAAAGGGUCCGUAGCCGGUUUAAUCAGUCUUCCGGGAAAUCUGACAGCUCAACUGUUAGGCUACCGGGGGAUACUGUUAGACUUGGGACCGGGAGAGGUAAGAGGUACUACAGGGGUAGGAGUGAAAUCUUGUAAUCCCUGUGGGACCACCAGUGGCGAAGGCGUCUUACCAGAAC
rnacentral:rRNA from 1 species